UACGGAGGGUGCGAGCGUUGUCCGGAAUCAUUGGGCGUAAAGGGCGCGUAGGUGGCCCGGUCAGUUCGUGGUGAAAGCGCGGGGCUCAACCCUGCGUCGGCCAUGAAUACUGCCGCGGCUGGAGCACUGUAGAGGCAGGCGGAAUUCCGGGUGUAGCGGUGGAAUGCGUAGAGAUCCGGAAGAACACCAGUGGCGAAGGCGGCCCGCUGGGCAGUGGCUGACGCUGAGGCGCGACAGCGUGGGGAGCAAACAGG
rnacentral:rRNA from 1 species